UAGUUAGCUCACUUGGUAGAGCGUCGGAUUCAUAAUCUGAAGGUAGUGGGUUCAAUUCCCACACUG
rnacentral:tRNA from 1 species